rnacentral:rRNA from 1 species
AUUGAACGCUGGCGGCAGGCCUAACACAUGCAAGUCGAGCGGAUGACGGGAGCUUGCUCCUUGAUUCAGCGGCGGACGGGUGAGUAAUGCCUAGGAAUCUUCCUGGUAGUGGGGGACAACGUUUCGAAAGGAACGCUAAUACCGCAUACGUCCUACGGGAGAAAGCAGGGGACCUUCGGGCCUUGCGCUAUCAGAUGAGCCUAGGUCGGAUUAGCUAGUUGGUGGGGUAAUGGCUCACCAAGGCGACGAUCCGUAACUGGUCUGAGAGGAUGAUCAGUCACACUGGAACUGAGACACGGUCCAGACUCCUACGGGAGGCAGCAGUGGGGAAUAUUGGACAAUGGGCGAAAGCCUGAUCCAGCCAUGCCGCGUGUGUGAAGAAGGUCUUCGGAUUGUAAAGCACUUUAAGUUGGGAGGAAGGGCAGUAAGUUAAUACCUUGCUGUUUUGACGUUACCGACAGAAUAAGCACCGGCUAACUCUGUGCCAGCCGCCGCUGUAAAAC